UACAGAGGUCCCAAGCGUUGUCCGGAAUCAUUGGGCGUAAAGCGCGUGUAGGCGGCUUGGUAAGUCCGCUCUGAAAGCCCGGGGCUCAACCCCGGGAGGCGGGUGGAUACUGUCAAGCUCGAGUCCGGAAGAGGCGAGUGGAAUUCCUGGUGUAGCGGUGAAAUGCGCAGAUAUCAGGAAGAACACCCGUGGCGAAGGCGGCUCUCUGGGACGGUACUGACGCUGAGACGCGAAAGCGUGGGGAGCGAACAGG
rnacentral:rRNA from 1 species